rnacentral:lncRNA from 1 species
AUGACAUAAGACAGGGAGGUGGUCAGAAAAAAACCUAGGUAUCAAUUAUCCAUUUUUUUUCAAUUGAUGUUUGUGAUUGAGUGCCUAUUGUGUUCCCAGCAGCACACUGUGAAGGAUAUGAAGUAUUGAGACAUAAUGAUCUCCUCUCAAAUUAGAGGUUGCAAUCUAUUUGAGAAGGCAAAGGAACACAAGUGAAGAAAAAUUCUAAGUUGGGUGCUGUGAGCUGUAACUCCAAAAUUUCCCAGUGGUAGAGGUCAGAGAAUUUAAGAAUAGCUGCCUGGGCUGUCCCAUCAAAAAGUCGUGGUCCGGACAAGAGUAUUUUACAGGAUCAACAGGGCCACAAAGGAACUUGGGUACACACAGCCCUCACACCAUGAGCUCACAAUCCACAACUUAGUGUCCUUUCCCUCGGUGCUUCCUGUGCCAGGCUGGACCUAGAUGACCUCUAAGGUCAUAUCAACUUGAAUACUUUCCUAUGACUCCAAGAAAUGGUGACAGAACGCUAAAUUCAAAUCUAAAAAAGAGCAAGGACAGAAAAAGGAAGAGCAGCAAGGAUGCUACUGCACCAACCCAGGUCUAAAAGAAUGGGACUUGAUCCUCUUGACACCAUUUGGAAGAUCAUGUUUAGAAGAACUACAAAAACUAUGCUGGGCUUGUACAUGUCUCAGGACAUAAAUAUGGUUUUCAUAAAGCCCAGAUUGUAUUCCAAAAUAGCCCAUAAGUCCAACAACAGGUGUUAUAUAUUGUACCCUUUUUAAGCACUUUACUUUGAAGAGGGAUACAAAUGAGAGCUUCUGAUGAGAUGACUAGGGAUCUACUGGGCCAGCAUGUCUUGAAGAUGGAGCUUGCUCAUGUGAAUGGCUCAGCAGAUGCAGUGAACUCACAUCCCACUGGAGGCCAUCGCAUGGAGGGGGGGUAGCUGUGCCAAUGUUCAUGUGAAGAGGACACUGGGAAUUGAAGGAGGGAUCGAACUCGGGAACUUGUGCUUGCGAGGCAGGCGGCGGAAUCGCUGAGCUAAAUCCCUGGCCCCAUGCAAGUAAUUUUUGCACAUAUCUCAGUUCUUCAGGAACCAGAGAAAGCUUUGUGGUGUUCUUCAAACCAGAAAUUGCUCUACUCCAAAUCCAGAGAAGUCUUUUGGAAUCCCCUUUGCUACAACAACCUUGGAGGGAAGAAAACACGGUUUCUUAGAUUGUCUAUCCAAGGAACACACACCAGCCUUUUCACAGAAAACUGGCAGCUAAUCAAAAUAUACUGUUAGAGGUACAAGUGGUUCAAAAAGACUGAAGACCUAAAAGUUUAAACUUUUUUCUGACUUCCCUGACAAGGGCACUUUGCAGCCCAAGAUCUUGCUUCUCAGCACCUAGCACAGUUUGCCCCCAUGUUUUAGAUUGGUCUUUCUCCUCUAGAAGACUCCAGGAGGGCUGGUGCCCUGACAUAGGCUGAGUGCUCAGAAUUUGUUCAGUGAAUCAACAAAUGUUGAGCAGUUGCUGACAUGGAGGCUGAGAAUUCUCUACAAUUAGCAGAUCAGAUUUGAUAAAAGGAAAUGACCAGUCUGAUCUAGAUUCUUGUAGGUUGUAGACUACAUGUCUACAGUGCAUGCAUGGCAUUAGUGCAUGAAUGAUUUUACUGCAUGUGUGACACUGUAUCACAGAAUGCCAGAGGUAAGAUACGAGGAAGGCAUAGAUUUUUCUGUUUCUAAGUGCAAAACAUUAAACAUGAAUCUGAG